AUUGCUUCUCGGCCUUUUGGCUAAGAUCAAGUGUAGUAUCUGUUCUUAUCAGUUUAAUAUCUGAUAUGUCCUGAGGACAAUAUAUUAAAUGGAUUUUUGAAGCUGGGAGUUGGAAUAGAAGCUUGUUCUGUCCACUCCAUGCACUGACCCAGUAUUGCAGUACCUCUGGGAACAGUGCACCAAAC